CGCCUCGCUCCGCCUCCACCACCAGCCCGCCCACCCUCACCCUCUCUGCUCCCUUCACCGCUCCCUCCACUUCAUCGCACGCUAGUACUCAUGGAGACAGCUCUUGAGGCCGUGGUUCCCUUCCCUAGCCUUGUCCCCCUGUCAUCCUCUAGAUCUAGCUCGAGGAGCACGUGAAGGAAGCCAUGCCGGUGGCGAAUCUGUGGAAAUUCGAUGACAGGUGGUUUCUUUCCUCCUAUUUUUCAUUCAUGUACUGGAUCGCAGGUCGAAUUUGAUUUCUUCCCCUUCCUACAGUUCCGAUAGAUUACAAUCUGCUUCUCUUGGAUCUAGGGUUGGUUUAUUUGGGAGGGCAAAUCACUUACCCUAGAGCUGCUCGAGAAAGAGAAGAUUACUGGAUAGUGCACAUGGAAGAUCGAUAGGGCUACAGCUAAAGGGGAAGUCGAUUCGGUCUUCAUGCGACUUCUGAGUCUUUCUAGUGAGCAACCAUAUACAUGGAACCAAAAUCCUCUCUCUGACAAUUAAUUAGCUAUUUAGAAGACCUUAGCGUGGUUUCUAGAACAUGAUUCAGGUUGUAUUUUAUUUUGUGGACCUGUCAUAUCUCCUCUUAGUUAUGAUUUUCCAUAGUUAAUUCCUUCCUAUCUACACUAUACAUUAGAGUAUCAAAUAUAUUUUUAGCAUGGUACAGUACUUAUUAUAAGUCACCAAUAGGAUGAACCAUUCAUACUCCACAACAUGCCAAGUCCUUAUUAUAACUAGGAAAAUAAUUUUCAGACAUCUCUUUCUCAGUUUUAUGCCAGUAGAAAUAGUAUAGAUAUACCACAGAUCUAAUUUUUUUUUAGAUCUGAACAAAAUUUAAUUUUAGACUAGAUCAUGUGAUUUACUAUCAAUGUAUUACUUGAAAUUGCUUGUAGGAUUACUAUAUAGCAGGUGGCUGUGAAGUCAGUUUCAGUACAUAAACCAUAGUGCUCUUUGCAUGUGCACCUUCUCUUUUUCAUCGUGAAGUAUUAUGAGCCUUGAAUUUCAGCAGAUAGGGCAUGUUUCUCUCUAUAAAAAUUGAAACUAACACAUGACAAUUUUUCCUUAGUUUACCUAGCCAGCUGA
rnacentral:lncRNA from 1 species